rnacentral:rRNA from 1 species
CCUACGGGAGGCAGCAGUGAGGAAUAUUGGUCAAUGGUCGGGAGCCUGAACCAGCCAAGCCGCGUGAGGGAAGAAGGUACAGCGUAUUGUAAACCUCUUUUGUCAGGGAACAAAGGCGGGGACUAGUCCCCGGAUGAGGGUACCUGAAGAAAAAGCAUCGGCUAACUCCGUGCCAGCAGCCGCGGUAAUACGGAGGAUGCGAGCGUUAUCCGGAUUUAUUGGGUUUAAAGGGUGCGCAGGCGGCUUGUUAAGUCAGCGGUAAAAGCCCGGGGCUCAACCCCGGCGAUCCGUUGAAACUGGCUGGCUUGAGUUGGAGAGAAGUACGCGGAAUGCGCGGUGUAGCGGUGAAAUGCUUAGAUAUCGCGCAGAACCCCGAUUGCGAAGGCAGCGUACCGGCUCCACACUGACGCUGAGGCACGAAAGCGUGGGUAUCGAACAGGAUUAGAUACCCGAGUAGUC